AGCCAGCAGCCGGGCACUACACCCAAUUCAGUCAACCAGGCACCUCCAAGAAUCACUGGAAACCUCUUUUGACUCUGUUCAAGCCAGCAGCCGGGCACUUCAUGACGGACAGGGUGUCUCGGCUAUCGCAGCCAUGUUUGAGAGAAUCACAGAGGCCCACAUGAGUCGCUUGAUGCGGAGGCU